rnacentral:miRNA from 2 species
GCUCUCUAGCCUUCUGUCAUCA